CACACUCCACACAGAUUAUAUCUGAAUUGAGGCCAUCCAACUGAAUCAGUGAUGUAACACCAGUAGUUAAGAUUGCUUGGGAUAUAGCAAUAGUUAGCUACACAAUGGUGU
rnacentral:sRNA from 1 species